rnacentral:rRNA from 1 species
UACGGAGGGGGCUAGCGUUGUUCGGAAUUACUGGGCGUAAAGCGCACGUAGGCGGCUUUGUAAGUUAGAGGUGAAAGCCCAGGGCUCAACCCUGGAAUUGCCUUUAAGACUGCAUCGCUUGAACAUCGGAGAGGUAAGUGGAAUUCCGAGUGUAGAGGUGAAAUUCGUAGAUAUUCGGAAGAACACCAGUGGCGAAGGCGACUGACUGGACAAGUAUUGACGCUGAGGUGCGAAAGCGUGGGGAGCAAACAGG